AAAAGUUGUCAUGUUUGAUUCAGCUAAUCGGUCCCUUGUAACAUUGGCUUUUCGUUUGUGUUCAUUCGGUAUGCAAUAUCAGUAGUAGUGUAUUGUCAUAGUAAACCUUCAGGUUCAGGUAGAAGAAACAUGGUCAUUUCUGCUAUUGUUCCUUCAGACUGUAUUUUCUCCAUACCUCAAAACAUGGUCAUUUCUGUUUUGGAUGGCACACUUGAACAACUCUCCGAAGCUGGAGUUUGGACGCAUCAAUUGUGUUUGACUAUCCAAUUGAGAUACUCUGAUUAUCAGGUGGUGCGUUUUUUGAGCGGAGUGUUGUAUUUAUGUUCCGAUAACAAUUCAGUUGUACCCUUCGACGUGGAAGGAAAUUGCACGAUCAUUCCUAUUCCUACUUCAC
rnacentral:lncRNA from 1 species